GGAGCUUGCUCCACCGGAAAAAGAGGAGUGGCGAACGGGUGAGUAACACGUGGGUAACCUGCCCAUCAGAAGGGGAUAACACUUGGAAACAGGUGCUAAUACCGUAUAACAAUCAAAACCGCAUGGUUUUGAUUUGAAAGGCGCUUUCGGGUGUCGCUGAUGGAUGGACCCGCGGUGCAUUAGCUAGUUGGUGAGGUAACGGCUCACCAAGGCCACGAUGCAUAGCCGACCUGAGAGGGUGAUCGGCCACAUUGGGACUGAGACACGGCCCAAACUCCUACGGGAGGCAGCAGUAGGGAAUCUUCGGCAAUGGACGAAAGUCUGACCGAGCAACGCCGCGUGAGUGAAGAAGGUUUUCGGAUCGUAAAACUCUGUUGUUAGAGAAGAACAAGGAUGAGAGUAACUGUUCAUCCCUUGACGGUAUCUAACCAGAAAGCCACGGCUAACUACGUGCCAGCAGCCGCGGUAAUACGUAGGUGGCAAGCGUUGUCCGGAUUAUUGGGCGUAAAGCGAGCGCAGGCGGUUUCUUAAGUCUGAUGUGAAAGCCCC
rnacentral:rRNA from 1 species